UACGGAGGGGGCAAGCGUUGUUCGGAUUUACUGGGCGUAAAGGGAGUGUAGGCGGCCGAUCAAGUCUGAUGUGAAAGCCUUACCGCUUACCGGAAGGAGGUCAUCAGAAACUGGUUGGCUAGAGUAAGGUAGAGGCGAGCGGAAUUCCUGGUGUAGCGGUGGAAUGUGAAGAUAUCAGGAAGAACAUCGGUGGCGAAGGCGGCUCGCUGGGCCUUUACUGACGCUGAGACUCGAAAGCGUGGGGAGCAAACGGG
rnacentral:rRNA from 1 species